CGCUGCUGGGCCCGGGCGGGGGUGGGAGAGUGUUUGUCCCGUGGGGCUGUGAGGACCGCGGUUCCCCGGGAACUUCGCGCCAGGCUGCCAGAGAAGCUUCACGAAAGGCCACACGUCCGGCUCCUUGCAUUCCAGCCUCUCCUUCUCUCCGCACUUCUUCUCAAGGUCCACGAGCCAUCAGCUGCCCCGGUUAGGUCCGCUCCGCGAGCUGGACUUUGGCAUCCUGGCUCCGGGGCCAGAGUGGGAGCACCGAUUGGUUUGAGGAUUCCAGACCCGGGCCGGUAGCAGAUCGGAGUCGGGGGUGCCCCUGAUGGACGCGCGCUUGGGCAAACUUCUCCACAUAGGGACCAGCGAACAGAGCCCCAGAGCAGGGAUACUUCAACGCACUCUGCCCUCUCCGUGUCCGAGCCACUGCGUCUUGUUCCAGUGAAAGAGCCAUGGCAACAGGCAAGAAAGCUUGAGCAGCUCGUAUUUGAAAUGGAAACCCCUGCACAGCCUUGGAGGAGACCUGGAAUAGACAAGGACAGAGACGGAGAGUUAGUGACUCCCCAGGAGCACAGAAUUCCAGUGGACCCAGAAGGCAUGGAGGUUUAGCGAGACUCAAAGCAAGUACAAGGCACCAUCACACAUUCGUUCCAUCAAGUUUCAUUCCAGCCAUGGAAUAUAAAAUCACGUUCCUGCCUCUACCAGUCCUCUGGAGCUGCCCUCCCUGGGUCACCAAGGACCUUCUCACUUCCAAGCUUAAAGAUAAUUUUUUAUGCAGUCUCCCUGAAACAGCUGACUUUGCCAACCAUUUCUUUCUUGAAACUCUUUUCUUGGUUGUUCACACUAGCUCCUUUUCCUCCACCUUCCUUUUAAAUGUUGGUGGUCUUCAGGCUCAGUCCUUUGGCCUUUUACCAUUAUCAUAUGCCAGUAGUAUGCAAUCAGGGGCAAUUGUGCCCUCCAGAGGAUAAUUGGGGUUAAGAGCUAUGGGUGCUAACCAAAAGGUCGGCAGUUCAAAUCCACUGGCUGCUCCUUGGAAACCGUAUGGGGCAGUUUUACUCUGUCCUAUAGGGUUGCUAUGAAUUGGAAUUGACUCGACAGUACAGGUUUGUUUUUUUGUUCUAAAGACAUUUUUGGCAGUUGCCUUGAUUAUCUAGUACUGCUACAACACAAAUACCACAAGUGGAUGCCUUUAACAAACAGAAGUCCAUUCUCUCAUGGUCUAGUAGGCUAGAAGCCCAUAUUUAGGGCAUUAGGUCCAGGGGAGGAAGGUCCUUGUCAUCAAUCUUCCCCUAGGCUAGGAGCUUCUCAGUGUAGGGGCCCCAGGUCCAAAGGACAUACUAUUCUCCUGGUUCUUGCUUCUUGAUGGUAUGAGGUCCCCCACUCUCUCUUAUUUCUCUUUUUUUAUAUCUCUUAUAAGAUAAAAGGUAAUACAGGCACAUCCCAAGGAAACUCCCUUUAUGUUGGAUCAGGAAUGUGACCUGAGUAAGGGUGUUACAUCCUACACUAAUCCUCUUUAACAUAAUCUAAUCUUGCCUCAUUAACCACCGGCAGAAAUUAGGGUUUACAACAGAUAUGAAAAUCAUAUCAAUCACCGAAUGGAGGACAACCACACAAUAUUUGGAAUCAUGGCCUAACCAAGUUGAUACAUGUUUUUGGGGAGGACACACUUCAAUCCAUAACGGUAGUAAUCACUGGGGGGUGGGGACUUGAUGAGCUGCUACUGGCAUCUGGAGGCCAGGGAUGCUGUUAACUAUCCUACAAUGCACAGGACAGCUCCCCACAAUGACGAAUUAUUUGGUCAUAAAUGCCAACAGUGCUGUGGUUUUAAGAAGAAGGCACUGGGGAGAGUGCAAAUCUUGGCACAAGUGAAUGAAUCACAAACGGUAGAUUUUCAGGCCUCCCUUGGGAGUUUAUUUCUGAAACAGGGCUGCUUCUUGGGGAAUAGCACGGUGCAAUGGAAGGGGAAGGGCUUUAGGAUCAGUGGUUCUAGGUUCAAACUCUCCUACAUUGGACAUCAUAAUUUUUAUUUUAUCGAGUUGUCUUGACCAAAUCAGAUAACCCAUAUAAAGCCCCAAGAACAUAGUAGGUCCACACAUGUUAGCCUUUCCCUUUAAAUCGUAUGACAUAGCAGAUAUCCCCCUCAAGAAGAGUUCCUGGCACAUAAUAAGAGUUGAAUAAAUAUUUGCAGGAUAAAAUAUGGGCAAACUAGCCAUCUAACCUAUUUAAGAGGUUAGUGUGAGAGAUCUUUAGCUAGAAGUGGUUUUCUUUUCUGUCCUUGUUGGACUUAAAGUUUAUAAGUGAGUUUUGUGACUCUUACUGCAUUGUAGCCUAGCCCCAUCAGCAUAAUAACCAGUGAAGUUUUAUGAGGUGAGGUGACUGGCUUGGCACGCAACUCUGCAGUUAGAGAGCAUGUGACCACCCAUAAUGUAAGGCAGUAAACAUGGGCAGCCUUGUUCUCUUGUGGUCACAGCACAAAGUAGCAAAAGGAGAAGGGUAAAUUCAGAGGCCAAUAUGGUAGCCCAGUCUUCAGGGUUGAUGCUAAGAGUCAAAGGAAAGGCUUACAUAUUUUGGGGAUCCAUCAUCUCUUUUUGGUGCCUAUGAAGAGGGCAUCAAUAUAACUUUUCUCCUGAUGUUCAAAGAAAGAAUCACCAUGGAGUCUACCCACUUCGAAUUUUGUAAGUGUACAUCAGCGACAUUUAGCAUUUCCCUUUAUCUCUCUGUUUUUGAUUCAUCCUUCACAUGGUAGAUAAUGAGAGCUUUGGGAUCACAAAUCUGGUUAUGCCACUAUCCCCUACUUCCAAUUAAAUUUAAGACAAAAACGAAAUUUCAUAACAUGGCACGUAGACCCCUGUAUGGUCAGCCUCUCCAUCCUCUUCUAGUCCCCCUUCAACUCACCUCCUUGACUAUACAAAACUACCACCCAGAGCUGUAUACCUCUUUCAUGGCCCUGGCACGGUUAUGCAAUUGUUCAUUUGUUGGUAUCAUUAGUUAAUUAACAUUUCUGUCUUUAAUUAACUCUUUGCUCCAUGAGACCAGGGAUUAUGUGUCUUCUAGGUUUUCGUCAUAUCCCCAGAGCCUGGCACAUAACAGCUGCUCAGUAAAUACUUCUUAAAUAAACAAAUAAUUAAGCAGAAUAGAUGAUAACAUUAGUAGCCAUCACUCACUACCUUUUAAUUUUAACUCCCUCCCUUAGCCUAGGUUCCAACCAAAACCUACUUUUGUCAACAUAUGUAACUACCAUUUCUAAACCAAGGAAGAUGUGAGAUAGAAAUAAAACAAGUUUCUUGAUGAUGAUAUAUGUGCAAUAUCAAUAUAUAGUUAAAUAAUAGAAUAAUUGCAGUAGCUAAAUCUUAGUUAAUAUUUACUUACUUCUUACUGUAUAGCAGGCAUUUGGCCAGGUAAUAGGUAUAAAAUAUUGAGUAAAAUCAGACAUGACACCUUACAUGCAUUAUCUCAUUUUUAUUGGCCGAUUAGUUGGGCACAAUUAUUUUUCCCACCUUUGUAGAUGAGAAUAUUGUAGCAUUGGAAGCUUAGGUAAAUUGCUUGUGAUCAUAAAGCCAGUAAAUUGGUGAUAGAGCAGGUAUUUGAACCAAGGAUGACUCCAGAGUUGUUCACCAUUAUGCUGUAUAAUUUUAGAAGAAAAGAUAUAAGUUUAGUCUAGUGCAUUGACUUAAGAGGUCAUAUCUAUUGGCAAAUGCCGCAGAUGCUGACAGAACCACCAGCAUCUACCAUCCACCCUGGACUGAACAUCGCUGCGGGCUGAGCACUGUUCUAGGUGCCGUAUGUGCAUUAUCUCUUAUCUUCAAAACAAUCUACUCGUAGGUGUUAUUAUUCUCAUCUUGAUGGCUCAGUGGUUAAGAGCUCAACUGUUAACUAAAAGGUCGGCAGUUCAAAUCCACCAGCCACUCCUUGGAAACUCUAUGGGGCGGUUCUACUCUGUCCUAUAGGGUCACUAUGAGUUGGAACCAACUCCAUGGCAAUGGGUUUGGUUUGGUUUUUGGUUACAGUUGAGCCAAGGAAGCAGGUAGGAGGAAGAGGCAGAGAAGAAGGCAAAGACAGUUGGGACAUUUGAAAACUUUCUAGUCCCCCAAGUCUUUACAGUAUAACUUUUUAAUUCUAUUUUAAAGUCAGGAAAGCCUUCUGAAUUCAGACACAAUAAGCCCAGAAUUUGUAAUACCGAGACACUGAAUCAUAGACUUUUAUAACUGAAAAAGAUGUGAGAGAUCAUCUAGUCUAGUCCAGCCCUUCACGAGGCUUCUGAUUGAGUAUAAAACUGGAUAAAUCUUAGGUAGCUCAAAACUUAUGUUUUAUUCGUACAGUGUUAUGAUUUAUAGGCCAAUCACAGCUUCCCAUUUCAAAGAACCUACUCAAUUUAAAUGAAUAUAGUAACCACUUCAACUUAUAACUAGAUUCGAAUAUAAGAAAACUGCAUUUCUUUAUAAGUAUUUUACAUUUGUAGUAUUUACUAAUUCAGGUAGGAGUAUACCAUCAGGGUUCUUCUUAAUCCUAUAAAUAGGAUUUUAUUGUCCGAGGAAGUCUCAUGAUCUGAGGCAUACACAUAUCCCAGGGUAGAGAAGCACAUUCCCAAAGUCAGAUAAAAUCUCCCCUCUCUCUCUCUCUCUCAUGUCCUUUUAAAUCCAUGCCACUGCUGCAUUCUAUUGUCUUGGACAAGUGAGGCUUGAUCAAGGAUUUUAAAGCUUUUGUCCCCUGGCCAUCUGUAGCACCUAGAAUGCUUCUGAAUCCCCAGGCCAUUCAAAAAAGAAUAACUUUAGGUAGGAAAGAGGAUGUUAUUGGUGAAAUUAGAAACUCUCCUGAAUUUAAUGAGGGACCCCACCUCCCCAGGGGGGCAUGUCUUCAAAGAUAUCACUGGGAGCUCAGAGGAAAAUAUUAUGUUCUAACCUUUUAAAAAUUAAUCCAACUAUUAGCAGGGAUCCCAACUGUAUUUCAUUCAAGCCAUAAUCUGAAAGGCACGAUGAUUAAACCAAGACAAAUGUAGUGUCAUAGGCAAAUGUCAUGCCAUAGAUUUACCUACCAACAAGACAUUGGCAUGGUUCAGGUCAGAGGUUAAUUAAAGACAUUGAAAGGUCGUUCUGUGAUUAGGUGCAAGCAGAGUUUUAAUAGGGCAUCAGUCUGACCCACACUGACAAAAGAUUUAUGCCAGCGGUGAUGACACCGCCAAGAAUCGUGCUGAUAACAAGAGCCUCAAUAUUGGCCUCAACAGAAUGAUGAAUGGAGCCCAUAUCUCCUCACACUUCUCAUUACAAGCUCUUUCACUCCUGGUGGCACUUAGCAGCAUUUAUUUACUGGGGUUUGAAGGUGGGGGACAGCAGAACAGUAUAUCUAACACUUUUAAAUGUAGACUUGUGAUAUAAAAAUGAAACAAGAGAUAAGGUCUUUGAAUAAUCGUGCAGCUUUUCCUCCUGUAUUAUAUUCACUAGUACUAACAUUAUUUUUCCUCCCAAUGUUCUUCUAGUGUGUGAGCAGUUCGAGAAAAUUAAUUGUCUGAAGCAGAAGGUCAGAGGGAAAAAAUUACUGAUAAGCAUUAAACAUGCUAUAAAAUAGCACUUCCCCAUAUUUUGCUGUCAUAGCUUUAGAACGCAAACAAGAGAUAAUAGAGAGCAAAGGAUGUACACAUUUUCCCCUAUGCCAUGUUUAUGUUCGCUUAACUGUUGUUCUUAUUUGGAUAUGAUUAGGGAAAGGAUCUACAAAGCAAGCCAAAUACGUAAAUAAAAAAAUAUAUAUUUAAAAAUCAAACAACCAAAAAGCUUACAAUCCAGCUCAGCUGAAAGCAAAUGGAAGAGAAAAUAAAGCCCUGAUGAAUAACGUUUACUUUUCCAAGAAACUCCUUUUCAACCUGUUAUAUAUUUAUCAAACCACUAGAGUGUAAAUUCUAUGAAUAAGUCCUAUCAUCUCUCAACCAGUAGACACCAUAAAAAUUAUAACUACAGAAAAUUGUUAGCAUUAUAAAAGGCUACUUUCUAUAGGUUCAAAUGUAUCUGCUGCUGCAAUUUCCCAACAGAAGAAAAAAAUCAUAAUCUUUCUGCUUGGGCCACCAACCAGGGCCAGCCCAGGGGAAGAGCACAUCACAUCUAACCCCAGGUCAGCGCUCAGAUUUAUUCGGAAACAGAGAUGAAUCAGCUUGAAUGAACGCGGCGGAACUGGAAACCGACUGCAGGAGAGCUCUGCUUUCUUUCCCUUUUCAGGAGCAUUUUGUUUGUGAGUAGAUCAAGUUGUAGCUUUUGGGUAGACUUAACCAAAUUACCUGGGUGGUAAAAGCAGUUAACAUGCUUGGCUACUAACUGAGAGAUUGGAAAGUUUGAGUUCACCCAGAGGCACCUUGAAAGAAACGCCUGGUGAUCUACUUCCAAAAAAUCAGCCAGUGAAAACCCUGUGGAGCAUAGUUCUACCCUGACACACAUGGGUUCCCCCUGAGUCGGAAUCGGUUUCAUGGCAACUGGUCCUGGUGGCACAGUG